rnacentral:rRNA from 1 species
UACGAAGGGGGCUAGCGUUGCUCGGAAUGACUGGGCGUAAAGGGCGCGUAGGCGGAGUGCUUUGUCGGGCGUGAAAUUCCAGGGCUCAACCUUGGGGCUGCGUUCGAGACGGGCAUUCUAGAGUGGAGAAGAGGGCCGUGGAAUUCCCAGUGUAGAGGUGAAAUUCGUAGAUAUUGGGAAGAACACCGGUGGCGAAGGCGGCGACCUGGUCUUUUACUGACGCUGAGGCGCGAAAGCGUGGGGAGCAAACAGG